AUUUCUUUCUAAAACUCUCAUAUCUUCUCUCAAACCAGAAUUUUAUUCUUUUUUAAAUAAAAAAAAAAUCCUCUUGAUCUUAUCCUCUUCCCUGCUUCCAUAGAAGAAGAUUCAUGGAGCUUUCCUUGCUUAAGUUGAAACCAGUUACACUGGUUAUGAAUACAACUUAAGUCAUCUGUUUUGGUCCAUCCAAGAGAUGAGAGAUAGCCCCAGGCAAGAAAAAAACGUGGGAUUUUAAGCCUAUGAGACACUAAAUAAGAGAGGUAUGACCUUCAUGUGGUAGAUAUGCUUAGCUUUUUAUCAUAUCUGGGGUGAACCUGUUCUUGUUACAAGAAAUUUUGCAGCAGUAUGUUG
rnacentral:misc_RNA from 1 species